rnacentral:rRNA from 1 species
GACGAACGCUGGCGGCGUGCUUAACACAUGCAAGUCGAACGGAAAGGCCCUGCUUUUGUGGGGUGCUCGAGUGGCGAACGGGUGAGUAACACGUGAGUAACCUGCCAUUGACUUUGGGAUAACUUCAGGCAACUGGGGCUAAUACCGGCUAGGAGCUCCUGCUGCAUGGUGGGGGUUGGAAAGUUUCGGCGGUUGGGGAUGGACUGGCGGACUAUCAGCUUGUUGGUGGGGUAGUGGAUUACCAAGGCUUUGCAGGGUAGCAUGCCUGAGAGGGUGACCGGCCACAUCAGGACGGAAAUGCGGCACAGACCCCUACGGUAGGCAGCAGUGGAGAAUAGUACACUAUGGGCUGAAGCCUAAUGCAGCAACGCCGCGUGCGGGAUGACGGCCUUCGGGUAGUAAUCCGCUUUCGCCUGUGACGAAGCGUGAGUGACGGUAAUGGGUAAAGAAGCACCGGCUAACUACGUG